rnacentral:rRNA from 1 species
GCUUGACUGUAGCUUGUAAUUGGGUUCGGGCUUUUUUGCGCAGCCUAGGUGGGAGGCAACGAUGAUUUUUUUCCGGAAAAAUUUGAGCCGUUAGUGAGAGACCACUCUGAAAAGGCUAGAAUCCUAAUAAUGAUCCUUGAAUCAGGACAUUUGACAGUUGCAGGUGGGCAGUUUUACUGGGGCGGUAUUCUCCUAAAAAGUAACGGAGGGGUGCAAAGGUUCCCUCAAGCUGGACGGAAAUCAGCUUAAGAGUGUAAAGGCAAAAGGGAGCUUGACUGCAAGACCUACAAGUCGAGCAGGGGCGAAAGCCGGCCUUAGUGAUCCGACGGUACCACGUGGAAGGGCCGUCGCUCAACGGAUAAAAGUUA